ensembl:misc_RNA
AACGAGAGGCGCUGGGAAGCCGGGCCGGAGCGCGUCUCGGGGCGCGCGGAAACGCCCAGCAGAGCCGGGGAGGCCGCGGCGACGGCGCAGCCCGGAGCCUCCGGGAGCGCGGGCGCCGCUCACUCCCGGCCGGCCCGGGAGGGCCCGCGGCUCCCCGCAGCGGUAGUUGCAGUUUCACAAAGAAACGGAGCGUUUU